rnacentral:rRNA from 1 species
UUGACCUCAAAUCAGGUAGGAUUACCCGCUGAACUUAAGCAUAUCAAUAAGCGGAGGAAAAGAAACUAACAAGGAUUCCCCUAGUAACUGCGAGUGAAGCGGGAAGAGCUCAAAUUUGAAAUCUGACGGUUGUUGACCGUCCGAGUUGUAAUCUAGAGAAGUGUUACCUGUGCUGGACCGUGUACAAGUCUUCUGGAAUGGAGCAUCAUAGAGGGUGAGAAUCCCGUCUUUGACAUGGACUACCUGUACGUUGUGGUACGCUCUCAAAGAGUCGAGUUGUUUGGGAAUGCAGCUCAAAAUGGGUGGUAAAUGCCAUCUAAAGCUAAAUAUUGGCGAGAGACCGAUAGCGAACAAGUACCGUGAGGGAAAGAUGAAAAGAACUUUGGAAAGAGAGUUAAACAGUACGUGAAAUUGCUGAAAGGGAAACGCUUGAAGUCAGUCACGUCGGCUAGAAAUCAGCCUUGCUUCUGCUUGGUGUACUUUCUGGUUGAUGGGUCAGCAUCAAUUUUGACCAUUGGAUAAAGUCUCUGGGAAUGUGGCAUCUUUUUUUAGAUGUGUUAUAGCCCAUUGUCGCAUACGGUGGUUGGGAUUGAGGAACUCAGCAUGCCCUGCAAGGGGCCAGGUUUCGACCAUGUUCAUGCUUAGGAUGCUGGCAUAAUGGCUUCAAUCGACCC